rnacentral:rRNA from 1 species
UACGAAGGGGGCUAGCGUUGCUCGGAAUCACUGGGCGUAAAGGGUGCGUAGGCGGGUCUUUAAGUCAGGGGUGAAAUCCUGGAGCUCAACUCCAGAACUGCCUUUGAUACUGAUGAGCUUGAGUACAGAUGAGGUAGGCGGAAUUGACGGUGUAGCGGUGAAAUGCUUAGAUAUCGUCAAGAACACCUAUAGCGAAGGCAGCUUACUAGGCUGUAACUGACGCUGAGGCACGAAAGUGUGGGGAUCAAACAGG